UGCUGCUCCGCGCCGGCUCUGGCAGGGAGCCUGGUGGGGUGGCGGAGGAGGAGGCCGUGCCGUGGCGGACCUCGCCGUGUCGCGCUGCCCGACGGAGUCUUGCUCUGUCACCCAGGCUGGAGUGCAGUGUGGCAAGAUCUCGGCUCACUGCAACCUCCGCCUCCCUGGUUCAAGCGAUUCUUCUGCCACAGCCUCCCAAGUACCUGGGACUACAGGCCGAAGUGCAGGGGCACAGUCUUGCCUCACUGCAACCUCUGCCUCCCAGGUGCAAGUGAUUCUCAAGCCUCAGCCUCCCAAAUGGCUGGGAUUACAGGCAACCACAUUAUUGUUGAAACAAGACUACAAAGAAGGAGAAAUGAUGUUGAAGUCAGCACUGGCUUUAGCUAUCAAAGUGCUAAAUAAGACCAUGGAUAUUAGUUAACUGUUUGCUGAGAAAGUGGAAAUUGCAACACUAACAAGAAAGAAUGAAAAGAUGGUAAUCAGAAGUUCUCAAACAAAAAGAAGUUGAACAGUUGAUCAAAAAACAUGAGGAAGAAGAAGCUAAAGCUGGGCCUGAGAAGAAAGAAAAAGAACAGAAAGAAAAGGAUAAAUAGACAAAAUCAGAGAUUCGGUUACUCAUUUGGGGCACCGUUUCUGUGUAAAAGCUGUCCUGCUCUUCCAAACUAAGAAGGCUUUGACUUUUUUUAACUGGUACAGUGGGAAACUAGGACAUUACAUACUGAA